rnacentral:rRNA from 1 species
UAUUAAUGAAUUAAAUAGAGCGGGGUUGUAGCUGGUCUCUCUUCUCGAGGAGACUUGUGCCCGCCUUUGCUCAUUCUCCAAAUUCUUAUACCUCUGUGCNCCUUACAUUGGAUUCAUGGCGCCUGUUGGCCACAUUGUUUCUGUGGCUUUUUAACCAACAUUCGUUAUGAAUGUCAUAACGCCUUAAGCAUUUANUAAUAUUCCACUUUGAGCCACGGAUCUCUUGGGCUCUCGCAUCGAUGAAGAACGCCGCCAAAUGCGAUUAGUAAUGUGAAUUGCAGAAUUCAGUGAAUCAUCGAAUCUUUGAACGCACCUUGCGCUCCUUGGUAUUCCGAGGAGCAUGCCUGUUUGAGUGUCAUGGUAUUCUCAACUCUUCAGAUUUUUCUCUGAUUAUGUUGGAACUUGGAAGGCUUUUUUGCUGGCAUUUUUUUUUUUUCAAAAAAACAUUAUUGCGGGCUCCUCUGAAAAAAAUUAGUCAGGAUUGCUGCAUUGGCCUCAGUGUGAUAAUUGUCUACGCUGUUGCUGUUCAGUUAAAAAAAUCUUGCUUCCUAAUCUGUCCCUUGGGACAAAUCUAUUUGNACAAUCUGACCUCAAAUCAGGUAGGUGAACUUAAGCAUAUCAAUAAGCGGAGGAAAAGAAACUAACAAGGAUUCCCCUAGUAACUGCGAGUGAAGCGGGAAAAGCUCAAAUUUAAAAUCUAGUAGUCUUUGGCUGCUCGAGUUGUAGUCUGGAGAAGUGUUUUCCGCGCUGGACCAUGUACAAGUCUCUUGGAAUAGAGCGUCAUAGAGGGUGAGAAUCCCGUCUUUGACAUGGACUACCAGUGCUUUGUGAUGCGCUCUCAAAGAGUCGAGUUGUUUGGGAAUGCAGCUCAAAAUGGGUGGUGAAUUCCAUCUAAAGCUAAAUAUUGGCGAGAGACCGAUAGCGAACAAGUACCGUGAGGGAAAGAUGAAAAGCACUUUGGAAAGAGAGUUAAACAGUACGUGAAAUUGCUGAAAGGGAAACGCUUGAAGUCAGUCGCGUCAUUCAGAACUCAGCCUGGCUUUUGCUUGGUGUACUUUCUGCUUGACGGGCCAGCAUCAAUUUUGGCUGCUGGAAAAAGAUCAUGGGAAUGUGGCACCUUCGGGUGUGUUAUAGCCUGUGGUCACAUACAGCAGCUGGGAUUGAGGACUGCAGCACGCCUUCAUGGUUGGGGUUCGCCCACAUUCGUGCUUAGGAUGCUGGCGUAAUGGCUUUAAACGACCCGUCUUGAAACACGGACCAAGGAGUCUAACAUGCCUGCGAGUAUUUGGGUGGCAAACCCAAGUGCGCAAUGAAAGUGAAAGUUGGGAUCUCUGUCGUGGAGAGCACCGACGCCCGGACCAGACCUUUUGCGACGGAUCCGCGGUUGAGCAUGUAUGUUGGGACCCGAAAGAUGGUGAACUAUGCCUGAAUAGGGUGAAGCCAGAGGAAACUCUGGUGGAGGCUCGUAGCGAUUCUGACGUGCAAAUCGAUCGUCAAAUUUGGGUAUAGGGGCGAAAGACUAAUCGAACCAUCUAGUAGCUGGUUCCUGCCGAAGUAUCCCUCAGGAUAGCAGAAACUCAUGUCAGAUUUAUGUGGUAAAGCGAAUGAUUAGAGGCCUUGGGGUUGAAACAACCUUAACCUAUUCUCAAACUUUAAAUAUGUAAGAACGAGCCGUCUCUUAAUUGGACCGCUCGGCGAAUGAGAGUUUCUAGUGGGCCAUUUUUGGUAAGCAGAACUGGCGAUGCGGGAUGAACCGAACGCGAGGUUAAGGUGCCGGAAUGCACGCUCAUCAGACACCACAAAAUGUGUUAGUUCAUCUAGACAGCAGGACGGUGGCCAUGGAAGUCGGAGUCGCUAGGAGUGUGUAACACUCACCUGCCGAAUGAACUAGCCCUGAAAAUGGAUGGCGCUCAGCGUGCUACCCAUACCUCGCCGUCAGUGUUUAAUGAUGCACUGACAGUAGGCAGGCGUGAGGUUGUGAGAGCUAGCGUAUCU